AAUUCUCAACCUUAUUAGCUUUUGCUGAUAAUGGCUUGGAUGUGGGGGUUCUCUUUUGCUGGCUUCUAGGUCGGCUCCCCUGAAAUCCAUUAGCUGGUGCCCCGCGUGGACUGUCUAUUUGGUGUGAUAAUUAUCAACGCCGUGGAUGUCUGCAAUUGGUUUUGGCACUGCUUCUAACCGUCUGUUCAUUUGGACAAUACAUGACA
rnacentral:misc_RNA from 1 species